AUUGUUUUUCAUCCGUUCUAAAUGGCCUUUAACGAUUAGUAAAAAUGAUAAAUUCCUGAUAUUUAGCGGGCAUCGCGGGACUUGUUAAAUCACUGUUGUUGAACUUACAUCUUCGGAAAGUUAGAAUAACUUGAAAAUAGUCUAAAAUUUUAAUGAACGACUUUAAUAACAAUCAAAAUUCAUUCCAGUGAUUCAUUUGUCUUGAUCAAAAAAAUCGUCGAAGUUUUGAUUAAUCCACUAAUAAAGAAUGUCACUAUUUAAAGUUUUAUUUAUAAUUGUAAUUAUGAUUACUUGUGUAUUGGCACGAAGUUUGCAACAGAAUAAUUUCUCAAACGAAUCAACGGAUUUCAUCAAAAUUGAGUCACCGUCAUUAGAGGUAAUUUUAUCUGGGCUCAAUUUUUUUAUUUUAGUUUUAAUAUACUUUUUAAUAUUCCAGAACCUCCCAAAUAAAUUCAAAAUUCCGCUGGCAAGAACAAAAAGAUCUACUCGGAGAAGAGAAAAGAAUCGUUCAGUUUUGAGAUGUUACUUUAACGCCAUAACAUGUUUUUGAUAGACAUCUAAGAAAAUUAUUUUUCAACUGUUAAAAUUAGUACAUAAAUUUCUUCCUUGCCAAUUUGCGUUCUUUACUUUGUGGUCCAAGGACGUUCUACUUUAUAGAUAGUAUAUUAUACAAUAGGAAUAUCAAAACAUUUACUGAAGAUCCGAAGGCUAAUUUUUGAAAGUAGAACAAUUCAUUUCGUAAGUCAAAGGUACGAUUCUGUAUUGUAAUUUUUCUAAUUUAUGUGACUGAUUUAUUCAUUAAGU